GGGGCAAGGCUUAUAAAUGCAGUCGUACGGUUGUAGCAAUACAGCAGUGGCAGACGGGUGAGUAACACGUGGGAUCUACCUAGGGGUACGGAAUAACUCAGGGAAACUUGUGCUAAUACCGUAUACGACCUUCGGGUGAAAGAUUUAUCGCCCCUAGAUGGGCCCGCGUUGGAUUAGCUGGUUGGUGAGGUAAAAGCUCACCAAGGCGACGAUCCAUAGCUGGUCUGAGAGGAUGAUCAGCCACACUGGGACUGAGACACGGCCCAGACUCCUACGGGAGGCAGCAGUAGGGAAUCUUGGACAAUGGGCGAAAACCUGAUCCAGCCAUGCCGCGUGAGUGAUGAAGGCCUUAGGGUUGUAAAGCUCUUUCGCCAGGGAAGAUAAUGACGGUACCUGGAUAAGAAGCCCCGGCUAACUUCGUGCCAGCAGCCGCGGUAAUACGAAGGGGGCUAGCGUUGUUCGGAAUUACUGGGCGUAAAGCGCACGUAGGCGGUUUUCCAAGUUGGAGGUGAAAUCCCUGGGCUCAACCCGGGAACUGCCUCCAAAACUGGAUCACUC
rnacentral:rRNA from 1 species